rnacentral:misc_RNA from 1 species
UUAUCGUACAACCGAGGUGCGGAGGGCUGUCGCUGACUUUUGUCGUGCACGCCCAAAGUGCUCUCAAACAAUAUCCAUCUCACCCAUUUGUGCAUCAUCGCGUGGGUCCUGCUUUUUGGCUUGUCCCAAGGAGGGGGGCUCGCGUUUUCACACAAACACCCUUUUAAUGCAGUGUANAAUGNUCUUUUGCGAUGACUCGCAAUAAAUACAACUUUCAACAACGGAUCUCUUGGCUCUCGCAUCGAUGA